rnacentral:rRNA from 1 species
UACGUAGGGUGCAAGCGUUAAUCGGAAUUACUGGGCGUAAAGCGUGCGCAGGCGGUCCGUUAAGACAGAUGUGAAAUCCCCGGGCUUAACCUGGGAACUGCAUUGGUGACUGGCAGGCUAGAGUAUGGCAGAGGGGGGUAGAAUUCCACGUGUAGCAGUGAAAUGCGUAGAGAUGUGGAGGAAUACCGAUGGCGAAGGCAGUCCCCUGGGCCAAUACUGACGCUCAUGCACGAAAGCGUGGGGAGCAAACAGG